CAGAGGGGAAAGCAGCAACCUUUGCCCUGCACAGGGAGCCAGCAGGGCCAGACUCCCCAGGACCAAUGAACUUGGAAUCCACCCAGGUUGAAGGGCAGGACCCAGCCGGUAACCCCGGAAAAAACUCAAGUAGAGCUCAGGGAUCCACAGCCCCCUCUCAGGCACCUGCAGGAUCUGGCGCUGUUCCGGAGAGGCCCGCUGCAGACACUGAACCACCAGCCAGCUGCACUUGUUGUCCUGGAUGUCAGUGCCGAUCUUGCCUGUCACACUGGGAUCCCCAAAGAGAUCAAGGUAAUCAUCCUGGGCAGGGGGGCAGAGAAGGAGGAAUGAGGAGGCUCGAAGUUAGAAAGUUGGAGCCUGUUCUCUGCCCGUGCCUCACGCCUUCCUACCUGAAUCUGAAAGAACUCCCCCAUCUCCAGCAGGAUCUUCUUGGCAUUGGCAUGCUCCUUCUCCCCAUCAAUGCCCGCCUACAGUGCAAAGGGGAUGGUUAAGCCAUACACCAGAGGUGCCUUCAUCUUCCUGGCUGCUUCCUUCUAGAUCUUGCCCUAGUGCAGCUCAAAAUCUUCUCUCCUCUUCUUUCAGAGAUCCCUGACCUCCCUGAUCUAGAAAGUCCUGACCAAUGGUCUAGCCUCUAUCCCACUUAUUUUAGCAAGGCCUUCCUGCGAGUCAUGGCAGGUGAGUCCAUCCUGGAGGCACUUGGACUAUUUCUUCUCUCAUGAGGCUCAGUCCCUGAGUCACUCUAAUCCUUCCUAAUCUUUUUGCCAUUUCCAAUUUCUUUCAGCACAAAAAGGAAACUUGGAGAAGCAAGGUCACUGUGGGAAAUUAAUCCCACUGAGUGCUUUGAAAUCCAGUCUCCUCCCCACUCCUAUCCAUACUUAGAUGGAGGAUUUAUUGUUCCCCCUGAUGGGUCGAUCACUUUCGUGUUUCAACAGUCCCGUAAACUUGGGAUUUUAUCCUCAUCUUACAGCUGAGGAAAAAGACAGAAAGAUUAAGUAACUUGCUCAGUCACAAAGCCAUGGAGGGGAGGGGAAGCACCAGAUUAUCGGAAGUGGUCUGCUCUGUGGCCUCCUCUCCAAAAGCCCCAUCAGCAGAGCAGCAAGGGAUGGGGAGGCUCACUCACCAUAUACAUGGCAGCAGCCACAGGAAGGUAGAAGGAGUAGAAAGCUGUCUUGUACUUGACAAUAGAUUUGUACCUGAGUAGGGGGAAAAGAUAAACUCCUCAGGAGGACAACGCCCACCCAGAGCAGCCCUCCCUCACUGCCCAGAUAUGGUUCCCACUGUCCCUCACCUUUUCUCAGUGAAUCUGCCAAGAUCCACAUUGCCCUGGGUGCCUGUGAUGAGGUCCAAGGUCUGUCCGAUCUCAGUCUGAUAGGAACUCUAAAGAGGAGGAUGAUGACCCAUGACCUGGGCUUUCUCCAGGGCUGGGGAGCCCUGAAAUCCUGGGCCCUACACCCCAUACCAGUUGGCAACUGGGUGGUCAGAAAGGCAGCAGGAGGGAGAGAGGGCCCCAAAACUCAAGGCCCAUACAGUGUCACACCCAGCCCUGUAUCACUCCUCCUUCCGAUCACACAGACACAGAAGGCCUUCUUCCCACCGCCAUCCUCCCCAACCAACUCCCUUCCUCCAUUUCUUCCCCUUCCCAGUAAACCCAGGUACCUCCUGUGCCCUGAAACAAGCUAGACAAGAAAUGUCUUUAUACAGGCCAAGGCUACGGUGUCUGAGCAUUAGCCCUUGUCUGUAGCACACCUGCAGGAAGAGCUCGAUCAGAUUCAGGUAAUAGGGCUGCUCCCGGCAGUAGAACUUCAACAGGCGGUAGAUAGUUGCUUCCAGGAGAAAAGCAUCAUUGAUGGCAUCCAAACCUAUGCCUGGCUGUCAGGGACAUAGAAAAACAAGCCAUCCAUCUCUGGCCUAGACUCAUACCAAGAACCCAAAACUCUGAACACCUCCAGGGACUCUAUGUAACCACCUCCUGGCGGCCUGUUCCCCUGCCCACCGCUACCUUCCCGCUCACUUUACCUUCUGAUACCAGCAGAUCUGCCCCCGCCGGGUGAGGGAUGAAUCCAUGAUGUCAUCUGACACCAGAAAGAAGGCUUGGAGCUAGGAGGAGAAGAAGAGUGGAACAAGGGCCCCAGGGCUCCUUAUUACUGUUCCUUCUACCAGCGACAGAGCUGCUGCUUUUGCAAAUCACUGAGCUGGGAAGGAAGGUCAGCAGGGGGAGGCUGAGGACUGCUGGUCUGUGCGGCGGGGCUCCAGACAGUCACAUGACCUCUUAGGCUCAGGCUUCCCAACUAGAAAAUGGGACAAAAACCCCCUUGUUUUCACAGUAAGAGACCACAACAGAUCUGACAUCUCCAGACAAGCAGCCUGAGAAGAUCCCUGAUAACAGGGCGAUGAUGAAACAUCUUCAUACACCGCACUCUUCUUUUGCCAGGAACUUCAUUGAAGACUUUAAGAUUUCUUCAUGCAAUCGGACUUUAUAUGACUUCUGGAAAAAAAAGGCUGUUCCCUUGUCAUCCCCAGGCACUCCACUUACACAGUCCAGUGACCAGGAGUAUGUAAAAAACCCCACCUCAGGGAGCUCAUUCAGGAGUGCAGGUCUAAUAGGAUAGAACUGAAGUCUGACUCCCAGUAACUUUCACCCAUGGGUCUUAAACAUCAUCAGAGGGCGGACUCUUCUGAGUGCCAGCCUACAUGAAGAUACCAGAACGUGCUGGUUUUCCCACUGCACUGUGAACUCCUUGGAGGCAGGGAUGAUGUGUUUGCCCUCUUGGCAUUCCCAGAGCCCAAUAUAGCGCUGGUCCCAGAGUGGGUGUGUCAUAAACUUUGUCUAAGAAAUAAAAGAGAACGAAGCACUGGAAUGUGCCCCAUGAUACUUCUUACAGACAGGCCACACCUUCUGGUUCCUUCAAAGAGCUUUGCAAGAUAGGGUUUUUAAACCUUCACCCCAUCCUGAUCCCUGUGCGUGCUCAAGUGGAUCUCAACUGCUCAGAGGAGUGCCCAACGCCACCCCCAGCUCAGGCAUGGGCACUGCAGAAACGGCCACGGCGACCUGCGACCACAGCUCUUGUUCCAGGCAAAGUCCUUGGGGAAGGAGGCAUCCAUCUGCACCUUGACCUCUGACCUCACCCUGGGGUGGAGCCUGGGCUUUCCACACUGGGGGCACAUGUUUUAUCUACAGUGUGUUUAUUUGGAUUGGCACUGUUUCCAAGAAGCCACCAGUUCACUGACUCUCCCAAGAGUGAUGACAAGGGCCAUCUGGUUUCAACCAGCACCACUCAACCAAGAUCUCUGAAGGGCAUUCAUUCUGUGGCCUCCCUCAAUCUUCUCUGCUCCCUCAACUGCCCUUUUUAUUAGGGAAACUUUAGAUCUAUAGGGAGAUUUAAAUCUAAACUAUCACAGCAUGGGGCUGGGUUUUAGUAAUCUUCCCAGGUAUGUGCUAUAGUGAGAAGUAAUGGAAAAUAUACCAUAUUACCUUUGCAGCAUUCUUACCAAAAUCUUUACCCUAAUUAGUAUCAUGAGGAAAUAAUCAGACUGUGAGUCACUCUACCAAAUAAGUGGCCUAGACUGUAAGAAAAGUUAAUCAUGAUGGAGAAACAAUUCUAAAGAUUGAAGAAAACUACUAAAUAUAAUGUAUUACUCCUGCUUGGAUCCUGGAUGUUCAAAAAAAAAAAAAAAACCUAUAAUGGACAAUUGGGGGAGAAUUCGGAAUAUUUAAAUAUGGAAUAUACAUUAGAUAAUAUCACUAUAUCGAUGUUGGAUAAUUUCGCUAAGUAUCUUCGAUGUUGCUAUGAGCUGAACAUGCCCCCCAAAAUUCCUGUUGAAAUCCUAACCUUCAAAGAUGGCAUUAGAAGGUGGAACCUUUGGGAGAUGCUUAGGUCCUAAGAGUGGAACCCUCAUGGAAGGGAUUAGUACCCUUGUAAAAGAGACCCCACAGAGCUCCCUAGCCACUUCUACUUGAGGACACAACAAGAAGGUGCUGACUGUGAACCAGGAGGAGAGCCUCCACCUGAUUGUGCUUGGACCUUGAACUUCCCAGCCUGCAAAGCGGGAAGACAUAAACUUCCAUUGUUUAUAAGUUACCCAGUCUGGGGUAUUUUGUGGUGGCAGCCAGAAAGGACCAAGACUGAUGUGAUGUAUUGUGGUCAUAUAGGCAAAUGUCCUUGUUUUUAGGAGGUUAAUGAAGUAGAAAAAUAAGAGAUUAAAGGAGAUGAAGUAGAAGACAAAAGACAGGAGCAGAAAUUAUAACACAUCAUCCAGAACCACGGAGGACAGCUCGAAUAGCCUCUUGGGGAAGUGACGGCAUUACAGCUGUGUUUGGAAAAAAAAAGAAAAAGAGUAACACUCCCAGGUGAACCUACAGCACAGCUAAGGUUAGUAACAACUGAUUCUACCAGGCUCUCCCCUCCCUUGGCCCCAAAGCUCCGCCCUAUCCUCCUGCCCUUCCCUCCUUGCCUGUUGGCUCAGUGUUUAUGGGCUCCUCAGCCCCUCCUUAUCCCUAGAGGGGCACCUCUGUCACCCAGGGCCUGUCCUCAGUGAUGCCAUCAUCCCUUUACCCCAGGAGUCAAAUCUCUAUUUUCCAGCCCCAUCUCUCUCACGAGCACCAGACUGAAAUUUCCAGCACCUGCAAGACAGACAGCUCCAUCUGACCUGUGCUCAUAAGGAGAAUGCGGUGUGGCUGACUCUGACUUGUCAUGUCCUCCCUCGGGCCAGCUGCUCCUCUCCGCAGGCCAGGGUCACCCGUCACUCACCAAGUCCUGAGCGUCUUCCCUUCUGGGCUCAUUGUCACCCUCCUCAGGGCCUGGCAUCCCUUCCAGAACCCAGUCCCCCUGUCACCAGUGAAGAGUUAAGGACAGGCCAGCAUACCAUACACCUUCCAGGGCCAAAUGAGCCGGGUAUAGGAGAUGAGACGAUGUGGAGAUGGGAGCAAAGCAGAGAGAGACAGACCCACACAAGAGAGUCCAUGCACUGUCUUGGGGAAGUGGCCUCAAUUCGACUUCAGCCAGCUGUUGCUACAUGGGAAUCUGGCUCCAGAUCGAGCAGUUUUCCAAGUGAUGCUAGAAAUCUGGGUCAUUAUGUGAAAUAUCUUCUUUGUUAAAUUUAGGGAACUUAAUUUUUAAAUAUUUUCAGAAACUAUCA